rnacentral:rRNA from 1 species
AUUGAACGCUGGCGGCGUGCUUAAUACAUGCAAGUCGAGCGGUAACAGGUGUAGCAAUACAUGCUGACGAGCGGCGAACGGGUGAGUAAUGCUUCGGAAUCUACCUAGUAGUGGGGAAUAACUAACCGAAAGGUUAGCUAAUGCCGCAUACGACCUACGGGUGAAAGCGGGGGAUCGCAAGACCUCACGCUAUUAGAUGA